GUAAUUAUUAAUUUUAAGGAUAUUCAUACUGUAUUACAGCAAAAAUAGAGUAGGCACAGUCUGCAGUUUUCAGUAUUAACAAAACAUGCAGGAAAAAACAGCUUGCAGGAAACUGUUUCAGAUGCUGUUGAAUUUUUACUCUCCGCUAAAAAGAAGCCAGAAAAGUGCUUAAGCAUAUCUAUAAUGUUUAAAGGACUGCUUGUGCUGCUGGUCCUUCAGCUCCCAUCCCGCGGGAGGACACUCAGCCAGCUCGGCCUGGAGCGGGGAGGCAGUGACGGCUAAACGCAGGGGUGAGCAGCAGCCCUGCCUCGUCGGGCAAUGGGAUGCGAGUGCCUGAAUCACACCAACCUAACUGGCUGAGCAGCUGCAGGUAGGUGCCUUUUGCAGCGCAACUGCAUUGUAGUCCUACAGUUACAAUGUGGACGGUAUAGGACAUAGUGCAGCGACCAGUGGGAGAUCUUAUUCUGUAAGCUCAAAAGUUCAGUGUGUC
rnacentral:lncRNA from 1 species